rnacentral:ncRNA from 1 species
AAGGCGAAACCCGAAAAGCCUAUAAUAGAGUAGAGA